CAGCAGCCGCGGGAACACGGAGGGGGCGAGCGUUGUUCGGAAUUACUGGGCGUAAAGCGCACGUAGGCGGCUUGGUAAGUUAGAGGUGAAAGCCUGGAGCUCAACUCCAGAAUUGCCUUUAAGACUGCCGAGCUAGCAGGUGAGAGAGGUAAGUGGAAUUCCGAGUGUAGAGGUGAAAUUCGUAGAUAUUCGGAAGAACACCAGUGGCGAAGGCGGCUUACUGGCUCAUACUGGACGCUGAGGUGCGAAAGCGUGGGGAGCAAACAGGAUUAGAUACCCGGGUAGUCCCUGUCUCUUAUAC
rnacentral:rRNA from 1 species